rnacentral:rRNA from 1 species
UACGUAGGGGGCAAGCGUUGUCCGGAUUUAUUGGGCGUAAGAGCGUGUAGGCGGUUCGGUAGGUCCGUUGUGAAAACUCGAGGCUCAACCUCGAGACGCCGAUGGAAACCCUCGAACUAGAGUCCGGAAGAGGAGAGUGGAAUUCCUGGUGUAGCGGUGAAAUGCGCAGAUAUCAGGAAGAACACCCGUGGCUAAGGCGGCUCUCUAGUACGGUACUGACGCUGAGACGCGAAAGCGUGGGGAGCGAACAGG